CUGACCUCCGCUUACCGACACCGGAACUUCCGCUGCUGAGGAGGCUGGAGGGCUCCGGGAGAGGGGCUGAGGCCUGGCGCCCCACCCCCUCCGGAAUCGUCAGUUGCCCUGGCUCAGCGACCACCCUUCAGGCUCCCCAACUCCCGUUGGUCCCGAACUCCCCUCCCCCGCACCCCAUCCUUUCGGAUCCCAGUUGCUCCAGGUGGGCGGGUGCUACCACCCCCACCGCUCGGUUCGGUGCUGCGGCUGUCAGUGCCCAGCAGGGGCGGGGUCAGUGGAGCCCCGCGCGGGGGUCGGAGUAGGGAGGAUUGACGAGGUCGGCCAGCACCCAACCCUCCAGACAGUCCUGCUGUGCCACCCAGGCUGGAGUGUAGUGGUGCAAUUCGGUUCACUGCAACCUCUGCCUCCCGGGUUCAAGCAACUCUCCUGCCUCAGCCUCCCAAGUAGUUGGGAUUACAGGUGCUCACCACCACGCCCGGCUAAUUUUUGUAAACUUAGUAGAGUCAGAGUUUCCCCAUGUUGGCCAGGCUGGUCUCAAACUCCUGACCUCAUGUGAUCUGCCCGCCUCAGCCUCCCCAAAGUGCUGGGAUUACAGGAAAACAUGCUUGAUCCUGUCACAAACACAUAUAGCACACAUGGAACCACCAUAGGCCCUGCUGACAUGGUUUUUUGUGUUUUGGACAAUCUCAUAAGACUUCGGGUCUUAUAGCACGAACCCCUUGAAGUCUGCGUGGGUACACACCACAGUAGAUUUUGGUGCUUUCCCAGCCUUCUUGGUAUAAAGUUACAGCAAGAAGACGUGAAAGGUUGGGAAAGGAGACCUCUGAUUCCAAGGACUCGUUCAAAAGAUGCUGAGACCGAGGCUUAAGCUUCAGGGCACCUCGGCCCCACCUGCUGGCCGGAGACGGUAGCGCUGCCCCAGCCGCUCAGUGCUUAUGGGGCUGGCAGAGGGAUGGGAUGGGGCUGGCUGGGAAGAAGAGGUCGCUGAGGCCCCGCCUGGGAGCUGCAGAGCUGGGGCAAACCUGGGGCUCUGGGCAGGUCUGCCCCAGGCAGUAUACUGUGGAGAAUGAAACUUUUCUAAAUGAUCAAUAAAAAAGCCAAAGUGGAGUCAGCUGUGCUGAAGGAAAGACUGAAUUAUCUUUCUAUUCUCUCUAUAGACAAAUUAUGAACUUACCAUAUGGAGACCAAGGAGUAUGCAGUCAAAAAAUGGAAGAAAAAUGAGUACAGAGCUGUGUCAUGAAGUUAAAUAAUACUAGCAAUAAUAAUAUAAUAGGCCAGGCGCGG
rnacentral:lncRNA from 1 species